CACGGAAGGGCGUGAGCCCUGCAGACAGCUGUGCGGCACCUCGGGCUGGGCUCCUGUUAGGAGGAAGUGCCUGCACCCAGGCAGCGGCUCAGAGGCAGCUGCUCCAUGCAGAACUGAAGCUGGUUCUGCAGCAGAAAGGGGAGAGGACACAGGAGCCUGGGGUGCAGGUGCCUCCCAGCAACGCCAUGGAGGCCAGGAGCCGGAGUGCCGAGUGCAGUGUCUGGCACAGGCUAAGACUCAAGGCAGUGAAUUCAUUGGCGCGCAAAGGAGCUAAAUUAAUAAGGAGCUGAAGAAAAUCCGGCAGAAACCCUUCAUCAGAAGAGGCAGUAUAUGCCAGGUGCAGUGGUGCAGGCCUGGAAUUCCAGCACUUUGGGAGGCCGAGGCAGGAGGAUCGCUAAAGCCUAGGAGUUUGAGACAAGCCUGGGCAACAUAGGAAGACCCUGUCUCUACCGGAAAAAAAAAAUUAGCCGGGUUUG
rnacentral:sRNA from 1 species